AAAUUGAAGAGUUUGAUCAUGGCUCAGAUUGAACGCUGGCGGCAGGCCUAACACAUGCAAGUCGAACGGUAACAGAAAGCAGCUUGCUGCUUUGCUGACGAGUGGCGGACGGGUGAGUAAUGUCUGGGAAACUGCCCGAUGGAGGGGGAUAACUACUGGAAACGGUAGCUAAUACCGCAUAACGUCGCAAGACCAAAGAGGGGGACCUUA
rnacentral:rRNA from 1 species